rnacentral:lncRNA from 1 species
AUGAAGAAAUGAUAUCUCUCAAAGAAGGCAAAGUCCACUCUCCUCCCCAUUGCAAUGGCCUUAGUUGCCAUUCUCUCGGGUGGAGAGGGCUGUGGAGGAGGAGAGGUCUCCAUACUUUGAUCCUCCACCUCAUUCAGCUCAUUUUCAUCAGGUUGAAUAGUAGGUUGGGAUGACUCGAUCACUUAAGAUGUUGAUUGAUCCAACCGGGCUUUCUUCCUCUGUUCUUGCUAUUCGAUGCUUUGACUCGAAAGAGUUCUCCAUCCGAUGUGCCUUGUCCGCACCAUCUCACUCAAAUCGGCCAU